UGCGGUUGUGGUGGCCAAGACUUCGUAACGUGUAUUCAGUUGAAUGUCGUUAAUUUUUUAGCCUCAACUACCUGUUUUUCAUGUCAAUUCAUUUGUUGCAACCAUUGUACCUCUCACGAUUUCUUUGAGUGGCGGGGUCGUCGUCAAAACAGGAGCCUCUCACAGCAACGUUGGUCGAGCUUAUGACAUGAUAGAAAAAUCAAUAAUCCAUCUCUGCUGAAGGGUCCUUAUGCGGCUUCGGCAUCGUUGAUCAUAAAUAGAGAAGAACGAUUGUCAUCCUCACCAAGAGCUUCGAUGGCACGUUAUCGUGCUAACUUACGACCAUCGAGAGCUCUUCACAAGUCUGCUUUGUUUGAAAAGAAUGGCUGCAUGUGAGUUAUCAUCGAACAAGAAUUUCUGAAUUUAGGAGCAGCUUCCGUGAUGAGCACCUCAGAUAAGUCAGAAGGAACGAAAUUUGUCGGAGUGGAAUGCUUCUUCAAAUAUUUCAAGACCUUCCCGUUUGUGGCUCGCAUAGAAAUGAUUUAUUGGUUUCUCCUCGAUUAUCAUUUUUAAGACAUGAAGACGUAAAUAGAUUUGGUGCUGUUAUGGAUAUUAUAUUGCAAAAAUAUUUCCGAUAAGUCAUUAUAAAUGAUGACAAGUUAACUCACGGAUA